CGACUAGGAAGCGUCUCCCUGCAGCAGCGCUGAGUGGCCGGGAUCCACAGGCCAGACGCUGGGAGGGUGACCUCCUUCUGAAGUUAGCCCCAGGUGCUCUCGUGGUUGUUUUCUGGGUCAUCCUUGGGAUCUGGUGUCCAGGCCUUCAGCAAAAUUCAGCAGACGUUCCUCAGUGCUCUGGCUCGUCUUUUCGCCAUGCACACAGACACCCCUGGGAACAUGGGACAGGAGCUGGGGCCUCUUGUUCAUGCUCUGGUUACAGCGCCCAGCGGCGUACGCCGGCCCCUCGAAAAUGGUCUGUGGAAAAUCAAAAUCUUGUGAGCUGGAAGCUUUACCUUCUGAGGUUGCACUGUCUGAUACAGUGUAUGAGACCUCUGUGGCUGUGAGAACUUGAAAUAUGGCACCAGAGGUGUGAUGGGAGAUUAGCUGAACAGAGAGAAGACUCAGCAAGCACAUCACCUUGAAGUUGACCUGUCAGCCAGAUUUCACAUCACCUGGCUGUUCCAGCCUGAGGGGCUGCGAUUCAUUCCUUGGGACAGAGAGCCGCAAAUUCUGCCUUUAGGCCACAGUUCAAGUCCUUGCCACUCUCUCCCAGGCUUUGAAGGACACAAGAGAGACAACUCUAAGGCAGGGGAAUUCUUCCCAGGGAAGCUUUUCCACUCGAAUUAGCUUUUAUGACACCUUCAAGCCAUCUCUAAGAAUCUGGUCUUUUGACAUGUGCGAAUAUUCACAUCUCUAUAUAUAAACAUUAAAAUCUGCAUCAGAAUCUACAUGCUUGUUGAGCCUCCUGGAGACUGGGUCCUGAGUGGUAUGCUCCCCUUCCCAAGCCCUCUGGAGCAGGGACCCCUGGAUUGGAGGCAGUGGGAAGAAUCCUGGUGAAUCAGGUGUUCCUGUCCAUUUGCAUAAACUGAGCACCCUGCCUGCCAACCCCACACGCUGAGUACUGCUGGGAAGAAGCGAAGAAACAUUUAUCAAAGGGCAGGAAAAAUUAGGGCCUUUUCAUUAAGAUCAGAAGAUUUUUGAGGUUGGAUCAGCUGCCCAGGUGCAUGACCAAGUUUCUUGGCUCCUUGGAAGCAGGAAAGUAUUUGAAAAAUAAUAGAGUCCUUAGUCCUGUAAGUAAAGACCCAUUUAUCUCGGGAAUUAAAAAAAAAGUGCUGGGGAUGGGAAUUUUCCGAUGAGAUGCAUUACUUCUCACCUGAGUGUCUUGAAUGCCUGCUGGAUUUGUCUCCCUGCUAAGAUACUCACACUUGCAAAUGUGUGCUUUUCAAGGUGAGGAGAUGAAAAUAAAAAAGUCUGUGAGGCGUGUGUCUGGGAGGGACGAAAAUGG